AGUAGCAUAUCGGAAACACGCUUGUCUCCCACGUCAUGGGUCGUGGGUUCGAAUCCCGGC
rnacentral:tRNA from 1 species